CGCGUAGGCGGCGGCGUAAGUCAGAUGUGAAAUUCCUGGGCUUAACCUGGGGGCUGCAUUUGAGACUGCGUUGCUAGAGGAUGGAAGAGGCUCGUGGAAUUCCCAGUGUAGAGGUGAAAUUCGUAGAUAUUGGGAAGAACACCGGUGGCGAAGGCGGCGAGCUGGUCCAUUACUGACGCUGAGGCGCGAUAGCGUGGGGAGCAAACA
rnacentral:rRNA from 1 species